GUUCCAGAAAGCUGAUCAGCUACCUGCAUACAGCUCCUCAGCGAUCCUCCAAGCCAGCUGCAGAAUGCAGAGCGCUGCUGUUAGCCCUCGGGGUGGAGUUCUCUGUCAUCAGCAGCAGACUGGAUCAAAGAACUAUUGGACAAAGAACGGCUUUUGCUCCAUGAGUCUACCAUAUACGUAUGGAAAAGACAGUGCUGGAACAGAAGACAAAUGGAAAGAGUGCACGUUUUGUCUUAGUGUUCCAUGUUCCUCUGGUUUCCCAAGGCUGGGUUAAAUCCCACUGAGAGCAAGGCAGAGGCUGUGUGUGUGUGUGAAGCUGUGUGGCAAUUGGCUCUGUAGUGAUAGCAAAUCAUGUAUUUAUCUAUUGAGAUACAGAUAUAUUAAAAACUGGAAGGAGGUUCUGCAACCUUUAAAUCCUUUCAUGUCACUUUAUGUUCCUGCUGUUAAGCUUUUGCUACGUUAAUGUCAUCCUGGGUUGGUAAUAUUUACAGCACCUAAAUCAGUGUUGAGGACACACAGAAUAUUGCAGGAUCAACUCUACUUAUUUCAAAUGCACUUUAAUAUUUUGACUGCCUGGCCAGAGUUUGGGAAAUAACUGUGGUAGAAUGAUAAUGAGAAGUUUAACAGUUUUAUGAUGGUUGAAGCGGACUUUAUGGAAGUUGAUAAAUUUCAUCUUGUAGGUUUCAAUUUCUCAUUCCCUACAGAGAAAUGGGGAGAAUACAUUGAUACUGCAUUUCAAAUUGGCUAGAUCAGAAGGAACAGCAGCUAAAAUCCAUUACAACCCAAUUACAUCUAUCAGCUGAAGCUGUGUGCAUUCAUUCGUGAACAUCAGCAUUUAAUCCAUAAAGAGGAACUAAUGAGAAAUUUGAAAAUGGAAUCCAUGCAUCAGUAACUUUGGAGAGAUUUUGCUGGGAUUAAUGAACUGCCAGAACAUUGUCAACACAGUGAAAACCUAUUCUCUCUAGGUUUGUUUACUGACCAAAGAAAGAUUUUUUUUUCCCUGUUCUCCCUACUCGACAGCAUGUUUUUGUCUUGUUGGUAGUUCCUUUUUUUUACACUCUUGGUGCAGGAAGUGACACUUUACUCACUUGAAGGAUCAAACGCUUGUUUCUUUUCCAUCCUGUGUGCGUCUGGCUGGAUGCUUGGCUAGCUUCUGAAGUCAGAUACGCUGCAGAUGAACCUCUACUGCAUCACUACCUCUGCAAAAAUGUCCUCUUGCAUAGGUCUACAAAAGACAAAGGCAUGUGGGCUAGACCAUAUUUUGUAACACAGAAAGAAGACCAAGGUAUCAGCCAUGAAAUUUUAUGUAGUACUAUAGGCAAGUUG